AAAAAAUUGUCAAUUAAUAAAUUGUUUAUCUUAAAAUUUUACACAUUUUAUUAGAUGACAA
ensembl:ncRNA F33E2.11 ncRNA